GACAAGUUGGCCGAGUGGUUAAGGCGUCAGUCUAGAAAACUGAUACGGUCUCCGUUCACAGGUUCGAAUCCUGUACUUGUCG
rfam:Vittaforma corneae ATCC 50505 unplaced genomic scaffold supercont1.10, whole genome shotgun sequence.